rnacentral:rRNA from 1 species
GAUGAACGCUGGCGGCGUGCCUAAUACAUGCAAGUCGAGCGAACAGAUAAGGAGCUUGCUCCUUUGACGUUAGCGGCGGACGGGUGAGUAACACGUGGGUAACCUACCUAUAAGACUGGAAUAACUCCGGGAAACCGGUGCUAAUGCCGGAUAACAUUUAGAACCGCAUGGUUCUAAAGUGAAAGAUGGUUUUACUAUCACUUAUAGAUGGACCCGCGCCGUAUUAGCUAGUUGGUAAGGUAACGGCUUACCAAGGCAACGAUACGUAGCCGACCUGAGAGGGUGAUCGGCCACACUGGAACUGAGACACGGUCCAGACUCCUACGGGAGGCAGCAGUAGGGAAUCUUCCGCAAUGGGCGGAAGCCUGACGGAGCAACGCCGCGUGAGUGAUGAAGGUCUUCGGAUCGUAAAACUCUGUUAUUAGGGAAGAACAAAUGUGUAAGUAACUGUGCACGUCUUGACGGUACCUAAUCAGAAAGCCACGGCUAACUACGUG